UAUGCUUUUAUUGUAAUUUUUUGUAGUUUUAAAUGUAUAAUUUCAUAAAUUUUGAACAAAAAUGUGCACUGUAUGGAAUAUUUCAUUUUUGUAUAAACUCAUAUGAACUGUGCACUUUUAUUUAUCUUCAUUUUGACAUUAUCAUGCUUUUUUAUCAAUUAUUUUUUGUCUUUCAACAAAACUGUUGGAUUUUUAAAUUAAAAGGAUUCAAGGAUCUUUUUAUAUUUGAAAUUUCAUGUUAUAAUGUUGACUGGAUUCUUAAGUUGAGAUCCAGUUUAAUAUAUAUGUAUAUUUUUAGUAGAUACAAAAAUUGAACACUUUGGAAAUAUGAAAAAAUUAAAAAAAUAUGAUGAUUAUAUAUCACUGCCACAUUGGAUAGCCAACCUAAAGGCCCUGCUUAAUUUCAGUCAUCCAUGUCAAGGAGUAACAACCAUCUCAAAUAUAUAAUUCUUCAGAAUGGCUAUCUCAUUCUCUAUGAAGUAUUCAAGAGAAGCCAAGUCCUUUUUUGAAUAUAAUGCAGAGUGUAUCUUGUUGAGGACAGAUAUCUGUCUAUCAGAACAAUAUUUCAUUGCCUCUGAUAUGAUCAUGCAUCCAUAUCAUCACCCAAUGCUAUUCUCUCCAUCCUUAUGAAUAUUGCUUCUAUAAGAUCCUUCACAUUAUCAACAGAUGAUGGAUACAUCUUCCAUCCCUUGAAUACAUCUGGAUUGAUGUCAUAUAUGUCUUGAUGUAGCUUCCUAUGUCUCUUCCAUCAUUAUGUAAGUCAUACUUUGAUACUGUUUUCCUCCAUAUACUAAGGAUAUUAUUACCAUCAAGCUUAUGUGUUGGGAUUGGAUCUAGGACAAUAAUCCUAAGCUUAGAUAGUUCCAAUGGAGAGGCAUAGCAUGUAUCUUAUAUCUUGUAUUCUGAGAGGAUAUCAAAGAAGCUGAUUUGUGAAGAAAGGUUAUACGAGGGAGCAUUAUGUGAGAGUUUCAGCCUUUGGACCAAAGACAUGCUGAUUAUAUAAUGGAUGUGUGUGUUAAUGGGAGUGUGCAAUAGGUUUUAGAUAUGGGGAGUUUAGAUGGAUGAAGUUAGUCAGGGCUUUAGAAUGGGUAAGGAGAAUAGGCAGGGCUGUGGAUAGUUCAGAUGGGCAGGAGUGAUGACUAGGCUUUUAUAACAAUCAGAGUUUUUUGAUAGUAGGGGGUUUGGCUGUGAUUAAGUUAGGCUAAGCCUGUGGUCAGAUCAAGCUUUUUUUUAUAGGUAGGACUCUGGGGAGUUAAGAUGGCAAGGCUUCUGAGCAGAGUUUUAUGAUAAUCAGUGCAUUAGAUUAGGUAGGAAGCUAGAUAAGUAGAUUAGGGCUUUAGAUUAGACUAAGUGAUAAAUUAGGAAGACUUUUAUGCAAGGCAGGGUUUUAGAAUGGAAGAAAUGUGCAGGGAGAGUGGACAAGGUUUUUUGUAGGGACUAUGGAUGGCUAGGGUUUUAUAUGAUAUAAUCAGGGCUUUAUCAAGGGCUAUGAACAGGUUGGAUGGCUAGGUAGAAUGAGUAUGGAGUUAGGACCGAAUUUUCAUUCAGAGGGAUGAUGGGAAGGGCAGUGAUUGGGGUGUGGGGGAGAAUGAAGUAGUUAGAAUGGGAUUUUGGUGGACAGAGAUGAUGAUCAGGGAUUUAUCAAGGGGAUGAUGGGUAAGGUUUUAGGUUAAGCAGGCUUUUCU
rnacentral:lncRNA from 1 species